rnacentral:tRNA from 1 species
AGGGGCGUAGUUCAAUUGGUAGAGCACCGGUCUCCAAAACGGGUGUUGGGAGUUCGAGACUCUCCGCCCCUGCCA